rnacentral:rRNA from 3 species
UAUAGACCCGAAACCCGGUGAUCUAGCCAUGGGCAGGUUGAAGGUUGGGUAACACUAACUGGAGGACCGAACCGACUAAUGUUGAAAAAUUAGCGGAUGACCUGUGGCUGGGGGUGAAAGGCCAAUCAAACCGGGAGAUAGCUGGUUCUCCCCGAAAGCUAUUUAGGUAGCGCCUCGUGAAUUCAUCUCCGGGGGUAGAGCACUGUUUCGGCUAGGGGGCCAUCCCGGCUUACCAACCCGAUGCAAACUGCGAAUACCGGAGAAUGUUAUCACGGGAGACACACGGCGGGUGCUAACGUCCGUCGUGAAGAGGGAAACAACCCAGACCGCCAGCUAAGGUCCCAAAGUCAUGGUUAAGUGGGAAACGAUGUGGGAAGGCCCAGACAGCCAGGAUGUUGGCUUAGAAGCAGCCAUCAUUUAAAGAAAGCGUAAUAGCUCACUGGUCGAGUCGGCCUGCGCGGAAGAUGUAACGGGGCUAAACCAU